CCUACGGGUGGCAGCAGUGAGGAAUAUUGGUCAAUGGGCGUAAGCCUGAACCAGCAAAGUCGCGUGAGGGAUGACGGUUCUAUGGAUCGUAAACCUCUUUUAUAAGGGCAUAAAGUGCGGUAUGUGUCCCGCUUUGUAUGUACCUUAUGAAUAAGAAUCGGCUAACUCCGUGCCAGCAGCCGCGGUAAUACGGAGGAUCCGCGCGUUAUCCGGAUUUAUUGGGUUUAAAGGGUGCGUCGGCGGGCUUUUAAGUCAGUGGUGAAAGUUUGUGGCUCACCCAUAGAAUUGCCGUUGAAACUGGGAGGAUUGAGUAUGUUUGAGGCAGGCGGAAUGCGUGGUGUAGCGGGGAAAUGCUUAGAUAUCACGCAGAACCCCGAUUGCGAAGGCAGCCUG
rnacentral:rRNA from 1 species